UAAUCUGUCGCCAAACUAUUGUUGAAUUAAGAAACUGUCAAAUUGCGGGACAAUUUUUUCCAUAUAAGACUAUGGAAAAUAAAUCAGUUCAUUGUCAGACUCCCAUUCCACUCCCUUAAUGGGUGAGAUGAGAUAGAUAUACUAUAUUAUUUAUUUUACUACAGUGGCGGCUCGUGGAUGAUUUUUGUAGGAAGGCUGAAAAAAUAAUACCUUUUAAAAUUUGUUAAACAUAAUAAGACACAAGUAUAUACAAGCUAAAAUAUUAGUGCGGACUGAAAUGUUUGCAGCCCACGAUAUACAUAUCACAAUAACGUAUAUCGCAGGUUACCUCCACCUGCUCAAUACACUGACUAUGUGGUGUGACUCAGUCUGCACUGACUGCAGCCCUGAUGAGUACACAAUCACACUGACUCAUACAAUACACACAUACAGAGCACCUAUUGAAGUACCUAGUACCUACAAUUCAAAAAUAAAUAUACUACGA
rnacentral:lncRNA from 1 species